AAAAAAAAGGAAAAAGAAGAUCCCCCACUCACUCUCUUCCCUCCUGCUCCAUGACCGGCCAAAUCCCAGUACUCGCCGGCGACCAAAUCCCCCCCGCUCCAUGACCGGAAAUCAUGCGCCUCUGUCCCUCCUCCCUGCGUCAGCCGGUUCCAGCUUUCCCCCCUCUCCUUCUUUUGACCGACGCCUCCAAAUCGGCCUCCAGCUGACGCGAACCCCCUCCAUGGCUGGACCGAUGUUGGCGCCGCCACGGUGCCGACACGCCACCGUUCCAAGCAAGAUCGGCGGCUCGCGCUUCGCCUCCAUGGCUGGUCCUGCCACUGCCGCCACGACCACCCUCUUUCCCUCCACUCGCUAGCCAGUGCUAGGCUCCGAGCCGCCGACGGAGAGGGAGGCGCGGCCGCGGCCACCACACGCGGGCUGGAUGGGUCCGCACCGAACGGCCUCCUCCUCUCACGGGACACCUGCGAGGGUUGCCCUUGCAGCUCCAAGAACUAAAUUAGAGACUUGGGGUUUUAAUGGUGUUGAUGUCAUAAGGAAAAGUAAACAACAGGUGCGCUCAAGAUUGAACUGUCAAGAUCAGAGUAUGAUGCUUCCUAUCAGACUUUGGGUGUUGGCUUCAACCAAAAUUCCUAUUCAGAAGUAGGCAUGUAAGCCUACCUACCUUGUAUCCUCUAAAUAAUUAGAAAAUCUCUUUUGAAGUACGAAUAGGACAAAAUCUCUCUCAGAAUGCAAUCGGACCAGAUAGCUGGUGACAGUUACACCAAGCUUCUUGCAUAUGUGUAUAACUUGCCAAAUCAGGAUUCCAAAUCCUGAGUUGUCAUGCACAUAAAUAUUUCUGAAGAUCGAAGCAACAAAUCCUCUUGAAUGAUAUGUAUUCUUUCCCUAUUACUUACUGGUGUUUUAACACAAAGUAAUCAUUAUGUAUAAUUAUACACAUCAUUGUCCCUGUAGAAAAAAAUACAUAGAUAACCAAUGUACAUAUUUAUUUCUACAUGAUAGAACAGUAUGUACUCAUCAUCAGAUAUGUAUUGAGUUGUUGCAUUGUAGCUAGCUUGGAAUUAAAGUGAUGGUAUGGAAGUUAUUUUGCCUAUAACAUGAAAUGAAGUGUUAUAAAGUUUCAAAUUAUAUAAAAUUACCUACUGCAUUGAGGCAAAUAUGAUUCAAUAGAUCAUAGCUAUGAAAAAACUAAACCUGGGUCCUUAUCUAAAUCCGAUAAUUUGUUUUCCUCUUGGAGAGAAUGGACUUGGUAAUAUGUGGCCAUUACGAUUUAAUUUUUUUAGGGAACUCGGGUAUUUAUGUUCUGGGAUUCAUGUGAAGAAAUAUAGGGUUUAUGCACAGAUUUAAAUUCAAGUGGGAAACCUAAAUAUGUUGAUUAAGAUUAGCAUAUAGGUAAGUUAAACUAUAGACUUGACAUAUGUACAGUAAUCUUAUUUGUACAUCUCAAACAGGUUGGAAAGAGUACUAAUGGCAGUUUGAAACAAACAAGAUGUGCGGCUGCCAUUUGUAGUUAAGGAACUACUUGGUCGUCUAAAAUCCCUAGCAUGAGCGCCGUGCUAGGCAUUACAGAAAGGAGGUGCAAAUUUCCAGCGCCAUCGCAUCAGCGCCUUACUUGGCACUGCAACAAGGAGGUGAGGAUGUCCAGUGGCCGGCGACAUGUGGGAAGGCCCAUGGAAGCAUCAGCCAGUAUUGUCUGGUGCCCAAUGAUACAUAGGUAAACAUGAUGGAUGAGUAGUAUGCUACUGAUGAAGAUGAUUAAGUACGAUGUCAUCUACUGUCAGUUGAUAAUUCCUGGGAACAACAUAAACAAAACUGAAACCAGGAAAAGGGUGUCGGAUAAUUACUGUGGAGAUUUGGAAUUAUUGGGGAAUUUUUAGGACCAAGAAACUCACAUUUGUCAAUUCGGAUUCAAGAUUCUCAGGUUUCGAAGUUGGUAAUGCUUGCUCCUUUGCUCCAUCGUUGAUGGUUUCCUGUACAUGCACACAAAACUCUUACAUUAGUGGAGAACCAGGACUACUAAACAACCGAAGAGUGAAAAAUCUUCCAGACAUAUAAUGCCUUUUCUUGUAUUGCCUUUUUUGACUCGGGGUUUGUAUCAUUGUAUUUGGUUAUCACUUCUUCCGUCUUCAUAUUAUCUGUGUCCUCACCCA